rnacentral:lncRNA from 1 species
UGUCAGCUCUAGAAUGUAGGGAGAGCUGGAGUUUUAUCACAUGGACUGACUCAGCAGGUGCUCUGCGGACCUCACCUGUCCCCCCGAGUCGCGACUCAAUCUCAAUGCCCGGAUACUCCUCCUUCACAGCGCUCGCCAGCUCCAGGUAGGUCGCCUCAAAGCCGCAGGGUUUACUGGGGAGAAGAGACGUGGAGUGAGCUGGGGUUCCGGGGGUGGGGCCUCCCGUGGAUCCACCCCCAUCUUGCGGGCGAGCACAAGAGGCUCCUUUUCAACCCGAGUGGCUUACCAGUACUCCACCACGAUGUGGACUCCACUGCCUGCUUCCACCUCCCCGGGAGGGGGCACUACGGACACCGGCGCUGGCUCCCCACUCAUUGCUGCCCGCUCCGCUGCAGGGCUGCUUCCGGGUGUGACGCCACGCCAAAGUCACGUGGGGGGCGUGUCCGUGGGCGUGUCCGGACCUCGCUUUGCGUCGGGGCGCCCUCUGCCGUCAGCAGGUACUGCUACAUCUUGAUCCAGCUGCAGAGCGAAUAUCCUGGACCAGCACUGAUCCUGGGUUCUGAGAGCUCAUUGGCAUCCAAUGCUCACAGUCAUGGAUUUGCUUACUAACGAACUGCCUGUGAUCACAAAGCUAUUUUCCAUUUACAAAAGACAGAGAAAAUGGGGCAGGCGGCCGAGGUAGCUGAUGGUCUGUGAUUGGUGUUGCUAUUUACCUCUCGAACGAUGAUAGCGUUUGAAACCACACCAUACUGCUUUUCUUUCGAGUUCUUUUUUUUUUAACUUUUAAGAAUAUUUUAAUUACG